rfam:Arabis alpina cultivar Pajares chromosome 7, whole genome shotgun sequence.
AUACCAUGGUGAGGAAAAGCCCUAGUGUAUCCUUUUAUGUGUUCCCAUGCAUCAUACAAACUCUCUUAUUUGCCUUGCUCAAAUCUAGCAAUAUCAUUCCUUAUUCU